rnacentral:lncRNA from 10 species
UUCAAAAGGUACCAUUUUCAACUGUCAAAUUUUAAAAUAUUAGAAAUUUGAAAAUAUUGGCAAGGGCACAGGAAUUAGGAAUCUCAGGCACUGGUUUUUAGCAUAUAAAUCUUCAUAGCAUUUCUGGGAAGGAAGCUUGACAAUUUUUUUUUCAAAUACCUUAAAAAUGUAAAAAUUCUUUUUUGGGGGGCAGGGGGAGAAGGGGUCUCGCUCUGUUGCCCAGGCUGGAGUGUAAUGGUGCAAUCUUGGCUCACUGCAACUUCCGCCUCCCAGGAUCAAGCAAUUCUCUGGCCUCAGCCUCCUGAGUAGCUGGGAUUUUCCAGAAAUUUUUUUUUUUUUUUUUUUUUUUUUUUAGUAUUUAUUGAUCAUUCUUGGGUGUUUCUCAGAGAGGGGGAUUUGGCAGGGUCAUAGGACAAUAGUGGUGGGAAGGUCAGCAGAUAAACAUGUGAACAAAGGUCUCUGGUUUUCCUAGGCAGAGGGCCCUGCCGCCUUCCACCUUCCACAGUGUUUGUGUCCCUGGGUAGUUGAGAUUAGGGAGUGGUGAUGACUCUUAACGACUAUGCUGCCUUCAAGCAUCUGUUUAACAAAGCACAUCUUGCACCGCCCUUAAUCCAUUUAACCCUUAGUGGACACAGCACAUGUUUCAGAGAGCACGGGGUUGGCGGUAAGGUUAUAGAUUAACAGCAUCCCAAGGCAGAAGAAUUUUUCCUAGUACAGAACAAAAUGGAGUCUCCUAUGUCUA